GUGGUUGUCCACUGGACAGUGGUCCAGGAGCCGGAGCCCACAGAGGCCGAGGCCGAGGGUGAGAAGGCUGGGGCUGGGUGUUUGUGGUGUGUGGGGAUGGGUCAGUGCCGGCCUCACACGGAGGAGCCCCCAGAGGCUGGUGUGGGGCCAGGAGGAACAACUGGGCUCAGAGCACCCAGCGGGUGGACUGCAGUUGGGGAGACGUCCCCGUGAAGGUUCCUUCCCGGCUGUGGCUUCUCCGGGAGGCCCUUGGCUGGGCUCUGUCUCUGCAAAGGCCUGCAGAGAGCAGGCACGUGGGUGAGCUUUUCUCCUCUCACAGCUGCUCCACCACCUGAGGAGCUAGAGCCGGAUCUGGAGGGAGGGCUGGUGCCUGCAGUGACUUCAGGAGGAGACCAGGAGCCUGCAGGUGACCUGGCACCUGCCCACGGAAAGCCUGGCCCUGUCCAGGAAGAACUGGCACCUGUGCCUGCACCUGCCCCAGCCCCUGCCCCUGCCCCUGCUACAGUUCCUGCCACUCCCCCUUCCCCCACCCCAGCCCCUGCCCCUGCCUCUGACCCAGAUCCUGACCCUGCUCCUGCCCCUUCCCUUAUCCCUGCCUCUGCCCCUGCCCCUGCUCCUACCCCUGCCAGAGCCACUGUCCCUGCCCCUGCCCCUGCUUGUGCUCCUAUUUCUGCCCCGACCCAGCUCCUGACCCUGCUACAGUUCCUCCCACUGCCCCUGCCCCUUCCCCUGCCCCUGCCAGAGUCACUACCCCUUCCCCUGCCCCUGCCUGUCCUCCUGUUCCUGCCCCUGACCCAGGUCCUGCCCUGGAUCCUGCACCUGCCACUGCUGCUCACCCUGUCCCUUCCCUUGUCCUGCCCCUGGCCCUGCUCUUACCUCUGUCCCUGCCUCUGUCCCUGCCCCUAUCCUAACCCCUGCCCCUACUCCUGCUCCUGCAGGGCUCCCACAGCCACAUCCAGAGACCACAGCCCUGCAGGGAGAGCUCCUUGUACAAUUACCCUUAGUUCCAUCACCAGACCCCGAUGCCCCACCAGAUUGUUUCAUCCCCUCCCUCUAUGUUCUUUCUCUCUGGUUCAUAUUAACUGUUAUUUUAUCUUUUCAUGUUCUGUAUACUGUUUAUUAUUUGUUUUAAAUAAAAUUACUUGUUUUCAG
rnacentral:lncRNA from 1 species